GAUGAACGCUGGCGGCGCGCCUAAUACAUGCAAGUCGAGCGAACAGACGAGGAGCUUGCUCCUCUGACGUUAGCGGCGGACGGGUGAGUAACACGUGGAUAACCUACCUAUAAGACUGGGAUAACUUCGGGAAACCGGAGCUAAUACCGGAUAAUAUAUUGAACCGCAUGGUUCAAUAGUGAAAGACGGUUUUGCUGUCACUUAUAGAUGGAUCCGCGCCGCAUUAGCUAGUUGGUAAGGUAACGGCUUACCAAGGCAACGAUGCGUAGCCGACCUGAGAGGGUGAUCGGCCACACUGGAACUGAGCCACGGUCCAGACUCCUACGGGAGGCAGCAGUAGGGAAUCUUCCGCAAUGGGCGAAAGCUUGACGGAGCAACGCCGCGUGAGUGAUGAAGGUCUUCGGAUCGUAAAACUCUGUUAUUAGGGAAGAACAAAUGUGUAAGUAACUAUGCACGUCUUGACGGUACCUAAUCAGAAAGCCACGGCUAACUACGUG
rnacentral:rRNA from 1 species